rnacentral:rRNA from 1 species
GGGGAAUAUUGCACAAUGGGGGAAACCCUGAUGCAGCGACGCCGCGUGGAGGAAGAAGGUCUUCGGAUUGUAAACUCCUGUUGUUGAGGAAGAUAAUGACGGUACUCAACAAGGAAGUGACGGCUAACUACGUGCCAGCAGCCGCGGUAAAACGUAGGUCACAAGCGUUGUCCGGAAUUACUGGGUGUAAAGGGAGCGCAGGCGGGAGAACAAGUUGGAAGUGAAAUCCAUGGGCUCAACCCAUGAACUGCUUUCAAAACUGUUUUUCUUGAGUAGUGCAGAGGUAGGCGGAAUUCCCGGUGUAGCGGUGGAAUGCGUAGAUAUCGGGAGGAACACCAGUGGCGAAGGCGGCCUACUGGGCACCAACUGACGCUGAGGCUCGAAAGUGUGGGUAGCAAACAGGAUUAGAUACCCUGGUAGUCCACACCGUAAACGAUGAUUACUAGGUGUUGGGGGAUUGACCCCUUCAGUGCCGCAGUUAACACAAUAAGUAAUCCACCUGGGGAGUACGACCGCAAGGUUGAAACUCAAAGGAAUUGACGGGGGCCCGCACAAGCAGUGGAGUAUGUGGUUUAAUUCGACGCAACGCGAAGAACCUUACCAAGUCUUGACAUCCUGCGACGGAUAUAGAAAUAUGUCUUUCCUUCGGGACGCAGAGACAGGUGGUGCAUGGUUGUCGUCAGCUCGUGUCGUGAGAUGUUGGGUUAAGUCCCGCAACGAGCGCAACCCUUAUGGUCAGUUGAUACGCAAGAUCACUCUAGCCGGACUGCCGUUGACAAAACGGAGGAAGGUGGGGACGACGUCAAAUCAUCAUGCCCCUUAUGGCCUGGGCUACACACGUACUACAAUGGCAGUCAUACAGAGGGAAGCAAAAUCGCGAGGUGGAGCAAAUCCCUAAAAGCUGUCCCAGUUCAGAUUGCAGGCUGCAACCCGCCUGCAUGAAGUCGGAAUUGCUAGUAAUCGCGGAUCAGCAUGCCGCGGUGAAUACGUUCCCG